GUAUUGAAAUGAUAGAUUUUUAAACUAACUUGCUUUUUAUCUUUUCUUUCCUUUUCUAAAGUGAUGUUCCUCCAUCUUAUGUUCAAACUAAAUUUUCUAGGCUGAAAGCUGUCUAUGUUCCAUUUUGGCAGAAAAAGACUUUUCCAGAGAUCAUCGACUACCUUUAUGAGACGACUCUACCUUUGCUGAAGGAAAAGUUAGAAAAAAUGAUGGAGAAAAAAGGCACUAAAAUCCAGACUCCUGCAGCACCCAAGCAAGUUUUUCCGUUUCGAGACAUCUUUUAUUAUGAAGACGAUAGUGAAGGAGAGGACAUAGAAAAAGAAAGCGAAGGCUAGGCGCCAUGGCUCACGCCUGUAAUUCCAGCACUUUGGGAGGCCAAGGCCGGUGGAUCAUCUGAGGUCAGGAGUUCUAGACCAGCCUGACCAGCAUGGUGAAGACAUGUCACUAUUAAAAAUGCGAAAAUUAGCCGGGUGUGGUAGUGCACACCUGUAAUUUCAACUACUUGGGAGGCUGAGGCAGGAGAAUCGCUUGAACCCAGGAGGCGGAGGUUGCAGUGAGCGAGAUCGCACCACCGCA
rnacentral:sRNA from 1 species